UACGUAGGGGGCGAGCGUUGUCCGGAAUCAUUGGGCGUAAAGCGCGUGUAGGCGGUUCGGUAAGUCCGCUGUGAAAGUCGGGGGCUCAACCCUCGGAUGCCGGUGGAUACUGUCGAGCUUGAGUACGGAAGAGGCGAGUGGAAUUCCUGGUGUAGCGGUGAAAUGCGUAGAUAUCAGGAGGAACACCUGUGGCGAAAGCGGCUCACUGGACCAUAACUGACGCUGAUGCACGAAAGCUAGGGGAGCAAACAGG
rnacentral:rRNA from 1 species